GCUCCUGUCGUCCAGCCCGGUCAAUCAAAAGAACUGAUAGGACGUCGGCCUUUCACGCCGUAAACCUGGGUUCAAAUCCCAGCAGGAGCA
rnacentral:tRNA from 1 species